rnacentral:rRNA from 1 species
UGAGUAACACGUAUCCAACCUGCCGUCUACUCUUGGACAGCCUUCUGAAAGGAAGAUUAAUACAAGAUGGCAUCAUGAGUUCACAUGUUCACAUGAUUAAAGGUAUUCCGGGAGACGAUGGGGAUGCGUUCCAUUAGAUAGUAGGCGGGGUAACGGCCCACCUAGUCUUCGAUGGAUAGGGGUUCUGAGAGGAAGGUCCCCCACAUUGGAACUGAGACACGGUCCAA